rnacentral:rRNA from 1 species
GAUGAACGCUGGCGGCGUGCCUAAUACAUGCAAGUCGAGCGAAUGGAUUAAGAGCUUGCUCUUAUGAAGUUAGCGGCGGACGGGUGAGUAACACGUGGGUAACCUGCCCAUAAGACUGGGAUAACUCCGGGAAACCGGGGCUAAUACCGGAUAACAUUUUGAACCGCAUGGUUCGAAAUUGAAAGGCGGCUUCGGCUGUCACUUAUGGAUGGACCCGCGUCGCAUUAGCUAGUUGGUGAGGUAACGGCUCACCAAGGCAAUGAUGCGUAGCCGACCUGAGAGGGUGGUCGGCCACACUGGGACUGAGACACGGCCCAGACUCCUACGGGAGGCAGCAGUAGGGGAUCUUCCGCAAUGGACGAAAGUCUGACGGAGCAACGCCGCGUGAGUGAUGAAGGCUUUCGGGUCGUAAAACUCUGUUGUUAGGGAAGAACAAGUGCUAGUUGAAUAAGCUGGCACCUUGACGGUACCUAACCAGAAAGCCACGGCUAACUACGUGCCAGCCGCCGCCGUAA